CAGGGGGCAGAGGCCAUAUGGGUUGGAGAGGACCUGGGACCAGUGGUUGGUGAUUGGAUGUGGCAGCCGAGGGGAGGGGACAGUCCGAGCUGAGGCCUGGGAGGAAGAGGACGUUUGGGAAGGCUCGGGGAUUGAAAACAGAGAGGUGAAACUUGAGAGGAGAGGUCUCCAGCCUCAGGAGAGGGAGCCCCUGCUCCUGGAUGUCCCAGGAUGUGGCCGGCACCUCCCAAACCCACCACGUGCCCACCACUGGAGUCCCCAGACCAGACUGGGCCUGCGCCUCCCUCUGCCUACGCUGAUGCCCUCGUCCAGUCCUGCUCCCUCAGCACCCCCUCCUCACCUGUCUGCACCCGCUCAUGACCCAGCUCACGGCCCCUCGGCCUCAUCAGCUCCUUUUCCUGGGAAGGACUCCCCAGUUCCCGAAGCAGAGUCUGAUAUGCAGAGCCCCAGUGAAAGAUGACAGGACAGUACCGGAGGGGAGAAGUGGGGGCCCCAAUACUUCUCUUCCCUCCCUCCAGGGCCCCCUGCUCCUGCCACCCUGGCUGGGCUCCCUGAGCUGGGAAAUACACACUGGAGUCUAGCAGGGUGCUCCCCUCCAGCCCAGGCCCCACUGUGCCCCCUCCUCUGGGGGUACCUCAGGCUUGGAAACAUAUGCAGGUUCCAGAAGCGGCGGCCCUUGCACCUGUCCGGGACCUGCCAUCCGGACCCACCACCUCUCGGGACAAGGAGGCUCUCAGGCCUCACAGAGGCCUUGCCCAGCCUGGGAGCAUCAUAGGGCUGGCCAGGGCCAGGAGGGACCAUGAGCCCACCCCAUCCUGGGCCCCAGGAGCCAGCGUGGCAGGCUUUGUCCUGUGGCAUUUCUAGCCACCCACCUUGUCCCCGGGGCCUUGUCCCCAGCAAGGUGUGCCAAAGGCCCCUCACCAGCCACCCCUCCAGGCCCACACUCUGUUGAGGCCCUGGCAGGGCAGGGUUACCAGUCUGGGCUCAGAGGCCUGGAGCCUGCACAACCUCUGAGCAAGCUGGACCUGCCCACAGCAGCAGAGGCUCUGCCUCUCCAGCUGGGGCGACCCUGCACUUGCCCUGGUAUCCCAGCGUGAACGAGGGGGUCAGGUGUGAACAGGGGGGUCAGGAGGAAGCGGCACCUCCGUCUGCAGUCUCCUCAGAUCUUGCCUGUGCAAGCUCAGAGUGGGGCCUUCAAGGGGGGUCCCAAGAACCGGGAUUUGGGCUCUGGGCUGUGCACAGUCUCCGGGACCUGACUCUGGGUCUGUCCCUGCACCCCUGCACCUGUGGCCCUCCCAGGUCAGCUGCUGGUGCCACAGCCCCAUAGUUGUGAACACCUGGAGCUGCCCAUUCAGCCUCUUGUGCCGACUUUUCCCGAAGGUGACCUCUGGACGACCUCCCGGUGCACAGAGGGAGGAGGAAGAGCAGGUUUAUGAGCGGGGUGGGGGGGCGCAUUCCUCCGGGCAGCCUGGUGGCCUGGGCCUAUCUCACCAUCGCCACAGGACUGAGGGGCCCCCUGAGCCUCGGCCCACCUCUGGCCUGGCUGACCUGUGGGCACCAGGAAGCCCAGGACCAGGGGACCACAUUAGGGUCUCAGCCCCGGUUACCCUGGAGCUGGGCUGGGCCCAGUGGCUGCCAUGUGUCUCUAGUGCAGCCUCUGCUCACUCCUCCAGGGACAGAGAGCUCCCUCCGCACUCCCCCGGCCGACUGAUAACUCCAUUUCAGAUGGCACAAGAAUUCUCUCAUACAGGUGGUUUGUGGAAAAAAACAGCAGCUCUGGGGCAGUCGUGAAGACCAAGUUGCCCAGCACGGUGCUGGGCGCUCAGCCAGAGCCAUCUCUGAACCCUCUGGGGGGUCCCAGUUCAGCCUCCAGACCUACAGAUCUGCCUGUCCCUAUGGCCCUGGGGCAACUGCAGAGCCUGGGCCAGUGCUCUGAGGCUGGCAUCUCAGCCCCAACCCUGGCUCCCUAGAACUCUAGCAGUGCCAACAGGGCAGGACUGUCACCUCCAGAAAGCUGGGCGCAGGCCUUGGGUAGCCUGGCAUGGGGCGGCUCCUGCAUACGUUCAGGAGUGAAUGGAGCCUCGGAUUCUCUGAAGAGCCCCACUGCUCUGUCAGGGGGAUCAUGGCUCCCCGGGGUCAGAGGGAUGGAGGGCAGUGUUUCUGUCCAGAAAGGCUCGAGGGCAGCUAGAAAUGCCACAGGUCCUGGCCUUCUGGGGUAUGGUUUCCCACAUGGGCCCUUGUACUGGGGGUUGAGGUCCCGAGAGGAAGGCAGGGAAGUGUGCAGGGCCACGCCUCAACACAGGGGCCAGACCCUGAGAAACUCGUUCUCACUCCUCGGGCCUUGAGGCCCCCCGGCUGCUCUCCGUGGCUGGCCCUGGCCCAUUAGUUUAUUGAUCCCCUUGACCAAUCAUUGGACCAAAGUUUCCUCAACCCUUGCUUGGGCCAGAUCCAGGCCAGGGACCAGAGGGAGCUUGAAACAUCCCGUCCCCUGACAAGGAGGUGCCCGGGAGGGUGGGAGAGUUGCCACUCAGACCAGAAGCCCAGAUGUCCCUGCCUACCCCAGGGACAGCCAGCCCAGGCUGGUCCCAGACAGUCACCAGAGCCUUCCUUCAGGUCCCCCUUGUGUGCCCACCUGACCUGCUGGGAGCACUGGGUAAUGAAGAGGUCAUGCUGCCCCCACCUGCAGGCUACUAGCCCUCCCAGAGGUCAUGUGACCAAGAGGACCUUUCCCAGGCCCACACCAACCAUGGCAGCUUUGCUUUUAGCAGCACAAACAGAUCUGGGAUCCAGUGAGACCUGCAGGAAGGGUCUCACCCUGUCUGUGCCUCAGCGAAAUGAAAUUAAUAUUAGGACCACCUUCUCUGGGUAGCAGUCAGAGGGAAACGGGCACACAGCAGGUGCUCAUUAAAUGCUUCAUGGCAGUCACUUGGGAAAACAGCUUGGGUGUUUCUUUAAAAGUUUAACAUAAAGUUACUGCCAAAAAAUGGAAGCAACCCUGUUUAUCAACUGAUGAAUGGAUACACAAAAUAUCUAUCUACCCAUGCAAUGGAAUACUAUUUGGCAAUAAUCUAAUAAAAAUUAAAAAGGAAUGAAGGCCAGGUGCAGUGGCUCAUGUCUGAAAUCCUAGCACUAUGGGAGGCUGAGGUGAAAGGAUCGCCUGAGGCCAGGAGCCAGAGGCCCCAGUGAGCUAUGAUUGCACCACUGCACUCCAGCCUGGGUGACAGAGCAAGACCCUGUCUCAAUAAAUAAAUAAAUAAAUAAAUAAGAGGAAUGAAGUACUGCUAUGCACUGCAGCAUGGAUGGACCAUGAAGGCAUUGUACUAAGUGAAAGAAACCAAUCGUGAAAGGCCACAUAAUGUGUGAUUCCAUUUAUGUGAAAUGUCCAGAAGAGGCAAACCUAUAGAUGCAGAAAGUAGAUUUGCCAAGGCCUGGGGGAGCAGGAAGUGGGGAGUGACUGCCAGUGGAGACAGUUUCUUUUCAGGGGACAGGGUGUUCUAAACUUAGAUUGUAGUGAUGGUUGUACAACUCUGUAAACAUACAGAAGUUUGGAAUUGUACACUUUAAGUGGGGGAACUUUAUAGCAUGUAAGUUAUAGCUCAAUAAAAUUGUUUUUUAAAAUUGGUCAAUGCUCCAUGGCCAUUCUCUCUGCCCUGCAGCCAAUGCCUGGGGGCAA
rnacentral:lncRNA from 1 species